rnacentral:lncRNA from 1 species
AGAGUACUGGAACUUAAUGAAGGAACUUUAAACUGCCUGAGGAGGAUUGUUGUAGGGGAAGAAGAAGAAUAGAGUACAUAGAGGCAAAGUGAUAGGAGAUGGGAGAGGAGAAGAAGAACGACGAAGGGUGGAAGAAAUAUACGGAGGCGAAAAGUCCUUCGAGGAAAAGUAAAUUUGGGGAGAUGAAGAAACAUUUUUUUUUCUUUUUAUAUUUUAGGAAAUAAUAACAUAGCAUUUACUCUGAUUAAAA